rfam:Glycine soja cultivar W05 scaffold2751_24, whole genome shotgun sequence.
GGUGUGGGGAAUGUCGCCUUGGCUCGAGAGAGAUAUAUGCAUGAUGUGUCCAUGCAUUCACCAAUGAAUCAAAUGAUAUUAUAUCAGUUUGAAUUGUGAAUGUUUUCUCGGACCAGGCUUCAUUCCCCUCACU